rnacentral:tRNA from 14 species
UCUGCCUGGUGACUCUUGCGGUCUUUCAAACCCAUAGUG